UUGAACGCUGGCAGCAUGCUUUACACAUGCAAGUCGAACGGCAGCGCGGGCUUCGGCCUGGCGGCGAGUGGCGAACGGGUGAGUAAUGCAUCGGAACGUGCCCAGUAGUGGGGGAUAGCCCGGCGAAAGCCGGAUUAAUACCGCAUACGACCUGAGGGUGAAAGCGGGGGACCGAAAGGCCUCGCGCUAUUGGAGCGGCCGAUGUCGGAUUAGCUAGUUGGUGGGGUAAAGGCUUACCAAGGCGACGAUCCGUAGCUGGUCUGAGAGGACGACCAGCCACACUGGGACUGAGACACGGCCCAGACUCCUACGGGAGGCAGCAGUGGGGAAUUUUGGACAAUGGGGGCAACCCUGAUCCAGCCAUGCCGCGUGCGGGAAGAAGGCCUUCGGGUUGUAAACCGCUUUUGUUCGGGAAGAAAUCCUCUGGGCUAAUACCCCGGGGGGAUGACGGUACCGGAAGAAUAAGCACCGGCUAACUACGUG
rnacentral:rRNA from 1 species